rnacentral:rRNA from 1 species
GGGGUCGGGAGUCGAAUUUUUUUUUUUUCCGGGGUCGGGAGGAGAGGGCGCUUAGCAUAGAAUGGGGCCGCUGACGAGCGUCGGAGCGUCGGAGCGUCGGUGGUGUAUGCCGCGGGCUAAGGCCGACUAAGGCCGCUGAGGGCCGCCGCGCGUUGUUUGGGUGCUGGAGGGGAACGAGGCGACGAAUGAGGGUAGGCAGGUCGAGGCGCCGCGUGCCAGACAGCGCGAGCGAGCGCUGGGAUUCGGCACAAAGCCCGCCCCGCAGCGGAAGCAGCGGCCGCUCCGAGGCCGCCUGAGGCCGCCGAGGAGAGGCAUAGGAGGGAGCGGGGGUGCGCGCAGAGGAGAAGGACCUUGCGCGAGGACGCGGGCCACCGGUACCCCGCGUCCCCGCGUAGCCCGACCCGGAGGAGACGAAGGCUAAACCACGUCGUCGGCGCUCAGAGGUACCUGCUCCUCCUGCUGGCCCUGGGGUUUCCGGUGGAACUGGACCUGAUGAGGGGUGUGUUGUGUUCAAACCUGUCGCAUUUGACAACGUCGACGAUUAGUCCUUGCUUGUGCGGCCGUGAAACCACCAAGUCAAACGUGCAAAACAAGUCACCUAUUUGUAGGUAAAGAGGUACCGACUGACUUUAAUCGAUGUAGGUCACGAGAUGAGAAGGUUGAACAAAACCAGUUAAAGUUCCUAGUGUAAACAUUGAACCGAACUAAGUCGGUCAAUACUACUCGAUUGGUUAACUGAACAUGUCACGUUGUCUAGCAGCAAUAUUAACAUGUCAGGUUAAUACAGGAUUGAGAUCGUGAUCGUUUGCGAAACGAAGGUAGACCACUUCUGCUGCUGGAGCUCUGAUGGUACUAAGGGGUGUGUUCCUCUUCCAGAGAGGGAGAGGGAGACAAAUAAAAACUGUUAAUCCUAAACCAUCUGUUGUGAAGUCAAUGUAUAUAUGACGUUUGUCAGAAAGUGAAAUGAAAGACUUCGAAGUAAGAGACGAAAGGUUGUACUUUAUGUACCUGUCUCAAGCUAAUUGAAUAUACUUCUGUAAGUUCGUGUGACAAAAAAGGAUGGCGUUUUAUUGUUUCAACAUGAGAAAUAUCGAACAGGUUUAAGUACCUGCAUCAGAUUCCCACCGGUAGUAUCGUAUGAAUUAAACGACCUGAUCAUAAAUAUCGAACAGGUUAUAAGUACCUGUUUAACAAAGUCUCUUCUGAUCAUAGAGAAUUAAACGACCUGAUGAGAAGUGGACAUGUAUGUAUGAAGCCUCCUUACCUUGACAAACAAACAGAAAGGCACACAACCAGAAAAAAGGUGUAGUCACCCCAGAAUCUAUCGAAAAAAUCUUACGAUUUGAAUCCUUGCCUUCAUGACUUGUUUAGUUAUCUCCAACCAUUGUUCACAAACUCUCCUUUAAAAACAGACGUCAGACGUGAUUGUUUUAGAACACCGGGAAACAAAACUGGACUAGGUUCCAUUCCGGAUAGUUCCAAUAGAAGGUCCGACUUUACUGACUUAAUACAGAAAACAUAAGGAUCAGCGGUAUGACUACCCUCCAUUGUUACCACCACUCCGUUGUAAGCAAGAUAAAGACAGCGCGUACAUACGUGAAGUAGUAAGAGACAUAGUAAGUAAUUAAAACGUGCAUAUAUGUUGUUUAUGAAGACUAUUUAAAGGAGAAAUACCAUUACUUUGGAAACACGUAUGCUGUGAGUGCACAGACUAAAGACAGGUUGUUAACUAGGUCACCCACGACUGUAAAACAAGAUUCAUUACCUACCGACCUACACAUGAUAUCCUGUGAUAAACCCGUUUCUUGUAGCAUACGCAUCAUUGCGAGGAUACCAUUUCUUUAGAUACACCGUCACUGGUGUAUGACUUGGAACAUAACCUACUACUGUGGUAUCCUUAUAUACAAUAGAAGAAAGAAACAUAAACGAAGGGUUCUCCAAAUCAGAUAACGUUUGAAGAACAAGGAAUAUAAUAGAAAAUUCCGGGAUUUUCGGUGUCUCUGUUCACGUCGUUCAGUUUUGUUACUUCCAAUCGUACACUCUACUUUGUAUAUUCUUAAGUACGAUGUUGACUUAAUAAUUGUGGAAGUUAACAAGAAGACUAAAUAAAAGUACUAGGGUCACAUUACUUACCGCUCAUGUUCUUCUUCGUAGUAUUAAGGUUACGAUUCUACAAGAAGUUCGAAGUUACUAUUAGGAAACACAUAAGACUACCAUAGUCCGAUUAAACAGGAAGAGAAAAAAUUACUUGUUGUAACUACACGUCGUGGCCCGUAUCUGCCGGUACGCUGCUGCCACGAAUCCUUCGUUACUCGAUCUUUCCUCACUGUACGGUCCUAUCUGACUCUUUGAACCAAUCGCAAGUCCACGUGGGACAACUUCUUACAACACAAAGUGUACACCAACGUGGUCGCCGUAGAUGCGGUCGUUGCCAUACGCGUAGUUCUUCUCGCUCUCGAUACCCUUUGGUUAGUUGUCCGCUCAAUCUAAGAGAAGUCACGAUCCGGUGGCAACGCGACGCCUCUCAGGAUCUCCCUAGUUCUGUGUUAAUCCUCUUCUGUUCGGACUUUUACAAAUCUGAACUGGGAGGUGAAUACAUCCGUACUCAAUUUAUGUACCAGUUUGGUAGCGGAACUCAAAACGAUGUACCCACCAGUUUAGUAGCGGAGUCUAAACGCUACCGGACGGAAAAUAUAACGUUAAAGAACACCACCGAUGUUGUAACCUAUUGAGUCGUAUACACUAUACAUACAUUGCUCAUCAUAUAGCAUAGGUUCAAAGGUAUUCCCACUUGAGACAAGAUGAAAACCAUAAAAGCAAAAAGAUAGCUCAAUUCAUGAUUGAGAAACUAAGAGCCAUUGAUUAAUGGGAUAACCUAAAUUACACACUAUUAGGUAUAUACAAACAAUGUUAUAGAAACAAGGUG